rnacentral:misc_RNA from 1 species
GAGACAACAAGGAAGAUGGGGCUCCGAGGGUCAGUGAAUUUGAUCCAUCAAGAAAGAAACAAAAGAAUGUACUGGGUUCCUUCGGUCCAAAUUCCUCUAGUGAUAGGCAGGACUCGGCCCCCAUGCAUGUUGAUUGCAGUGAGGUUCAUAGGCCAAUGUACACAACAGGGUCAGGAGUAUGUGUUGUAGCACCUACAGAGAAGAGUGUAAUCAAAUCGUCUUUACCACCUGGUUUCAAGACAGGCAAACCAAAUGGUUCAAUUAGUCUGAUGAAGCCUCUUUCUCCUUCGAAGGAAAGGACAACUGAUCACGCUAAGCAGGUUUCAGUGCAUGUUGUGCCUGGUUCCGCUUUGGUUGCAGGGACAGGUGCCGCAAUCCCAGCAGGUGAUCUUGCCUCGGAUAAUUGGGCACCGGUGGUCCCUCAGGCUGGGCCAUCUUUAACCUCCAUGGUCAAUGGGACUACGAUGCCUCUGCAGUUUGGAUCUCUGAACAUGGCCAACCAAACCUUGGCUGCUUGUUCACGGCCUG